AGAUUUCCCAUGAUUAUAUAUCAGUAAGAGCCCUGAGAGAUGAUUAGGUAGAUAGGUUAGAAGUGGAAGUGUGGCGACACAUGUAGCGGACUAAUACUAAUAGCUCGAGGACUUAUCCAAA
rnacentral:rRNA from 1 species